CUUCUAGAAAGAUGCAGCCGCGGUAAUCCCAGCAGUCCGAGUCGUGGCCACACUUAUUAGGUCUAAAACAUUCGUAGCUUGCUUUGUAAGUUCUUUGUGAAAUUGUUGCACUUAAUGCAACAGCGUGCAAGGGAGACUGCAAGGCUAGAGACUGGGAGACGCAAUGAGUACGUUCAAGGUAGCGGUAAAAUGUUUUAAUCUUGGACGGACUGACAAUGGCGAAGGCACAUUGCGAGAACAGAUCUGACAGUGAGGAAUGAAGGCCCGGGGCGCAAAAUGGAUUAGAUACCCAUGUAGUCCGGGCAGUAAACACUGAUUACUAAACAUUGUGCCCUCCUCGAGAGGGUGCAGUGCUGAAGGGAAGCUGAAGAGUAAUCUACCUGGGGAGUAUAGCCGCAAGGCCGAAACUUAAAGGAAUUGGCGGGGGGACACACAAGGGGUGACGCGUGCGGUUCAAUUAGAUUCUACACCGUGAACCUUACCAGGAGCGACAGCAGAAUGAAGGUCAGUCUAAAGGGCUUACCUAACACGCUGAGCGGAAUUGCAUGGCCGUCGUAAGCUUGUGCCGUGAGGUGCCCUGUUAAAUCAGGUAACAAGCGAGACCUGCACCCAUAAUUGCUACCCGGAGAGGGAGCACAUUAUGGGGACCGCUCCGGCAAUGGAGAGGAAGGUGCAGUCAACGACAGGUGAGUACGGUCCUAAUCCCCUGGGCUACACGCGCGCGGCAAUGCUAUGUUCAAUGAGACGCGACUCCGAAAGGAGAAGCAAAUCCCCUAAAACAUAGCCUAGUUCAGAUUGAAGUUUGCAACCUAACUUCAUGACGCUGGAAUCCCUAGUAAUCGGAUGUUAGCAGCGUCCGGUGAAUAAGUCACAGUUCCUUGUACACACCGCCCGUCAUCUUGCUGAAAAAACUCGAGCCAUCCGGAAGAUCUGGCGGCCGCUCUC
rnacentral:rRNA from 1 species